AUUGAACGCUGGCGGCAGGCCUAACACAUGCAAGUCGAGCGGUAGCACAGAGAGCUUGCUCUCGGGUGACGAGCGGCGGACGGGUGAGUAAUGUCUGGGAAACUGCCUGAUGGAGGGGGAUAACUACUGGAAACGGUAGCUAAUACCGCAUAACGUCGCAAGACCAAAGAGGGGGACCUUCGGGCCUCUUGCCAUCAGAUGUGCCCAGAUGGGAUUAGCGAGUAGGUGGGGUAACGGCUCACCUAGGCGACGAUCCCUAGCUGGUCUGAGAGGAUGACCAGCCACACUGGAACUGAGACACGGUCCAGACUCCUACGGGAGGCAGCAGUGGGGAAUAUUGCACAAUGGGCGCAAGCCUGAUGCAGCCAUGCCGCGUGUAUGAAGAAGGCCUUCGGGUUGUAAAGUACUUUCAGCGGGGAGGAAGGUGUUGAGGUUAAUAACCCCAGCAAUUGACGUUACCCGCAGAAGAAGCACCGGCUAACUCCGUGCCAGCCGCCGCCGUAA
rnacentral:rRNA from 1 species